rnacentral:lncRNA from 1 species
UGCAGGAGUCCAAGGAAGAGAGAGAAGUGGGGGAAAGGCAAUGAACAUAACGCCAAAUAAAGGGAAAAAGAAGAGGAGCGGCAAUGCGGGAAGGAAGGGGGAGGAGAUUUGCUGGACUCAGGGAUGUUUAGGGGUCCGUCAUCAAUUUCUUCAGAUCCCUCAUUAGAUGGCCCCGUUGUGAUAUUGGUGCUGGGAACUGAAGUACAGAAGCCUGGAUCCACAACGUACGAGCCAUGGGGACUUCCAUACAAGGCAUGCACAAGUUGGUGCCAAGAGUGAUCCAAGAAGAUGGACUCUGAAGUGGAACUGCAGAGCUGGCUCAUCCUCCUGCUGGCUGGCAGUGAAGCCCCGGCCCUGGCUUGCCG